rnacentral:rRNA from 1 species
UACGUAGGGGGCAAGCGUUGUCCGGAUUUACUGGGCGUAAAGAGCGCGCAGGCGGUCGUUCAAGUCGCGUGUGAAAGCCCCCGGCUCAACUGGGGAGGGUCACGCGAUACUGAUCGACUCGAAGGCAGGAGAGGGAAGUGGUAUUCCCGGUGUAGUGGUGAAAUGCGUAGAUAUCGGGAGGAACACCAGUGGCGAAGGCGACUUCCUGGCCUGUUCUUGACGCUGAGGCGCGAAAGCUAGGGGAGCAAACAGG